UUCCAGAUCUCCUACAGCAAAAUCUAAAAGAUUAAAGCCUCAUUAAAGCAACACAGUGGAUGGGAACUGCUGAUCACAGUCUCAACCUCUGAUGACCACCUGAGGCAAGCACCGAGUCAGCUGUGGGAGGCAGGUGAAGGCAAUUCAGCUGUGCUACCUGGAGGGGGUGCACCUCUGCACCCUGGCUGCACCUCUCCUGAACCCCAUUUAAGGAUGGCUGCCACUGAGGAAGGAUCUCUUGUGGAGAUUGCUCCUUGGGGAGUUCACUGGGAGUUUACAACACAGGUCAGUGAGCUUGGACCACAGGGAAACAGAGCCAUCCAUUCUGCAUCGUGUGCUGUGUGACACGGAGGUGCAGCUGGAGUUGCUGGGAAAUGACCUUGUCUACCUGAAGUUCAGCCAGUUAUUCUAGAUAAAACACUAAACCAUAUUAUGCAUCUAAGCCACAAUUCUGGAUUAUCUGUAACAACUGUCUGUGCCAUACUUGAGAUGACGUACUUUCAUCCAGUUGAUGCUGCAGGUCAGACUGGAACUAGCCUGGGAUGCAACCUCCCCAGGUACCACCUAUUUCUGACAGUGCCAAAAGCAAGUGCGCUUCAUUCCCUGUCACAUUUGUGCUCACGGUUCACAGCACUGAUGCAAACGCAGUGACUGCAUCACAAGUGUUGUGUCAAAUCCUAGAAGCCAUUCUCAGGCUUGUUUCAGCAACGUUUUUCUAGCAGCAAUAACAGCUCUGCAUUAUGAGGUGGAGACAUCAAUGUCACUAGCUUCAUGUUUCAAAGUAAUGUCAGCACAUCCUACUAAUCUACCUGCCUCCCAUUACAGCUGAAAGGGUGACAUUUCCCAAUGGCUUAACAAAGAUGCUAUUAUCUUUAACACUUUGAAAUACACAGACACGCCUUACACCAAGAUAUUUAGAUUGCUAAAUAAUAAAUAAAUAAACCACCCAAACUGCUUAUUUCUACCUAAUACUCAAAGCUAAUUAGAGUGUGUACAGUUCUUCAGAGAUAAGGUAGAGGUUAUAUUUUGGAAACAGGCUCUCUAUUUUAAAUGCUUACAUGUAGUUUAUCAUCGCUUCCUCCUGGCACUUAAUAUAGUAUUUGAUCUAAACAUGCCUUGGUCUGCAGAGUGUUGGAAGCACUUUGAUUAAUAAGUGACACAUGGAAGUCAGAAAUAAACCAAUGAUACAAAGCAGAAGCAACCAAAAAGCUGCACAAAGAUUGCAAACAAUAUUUUUCAAGGACUGAGACCCUUCCACAAACAAAUGUAGCAAUCACUUCCAGCAACUUCAGUGAAUUCAAGUCACCACCACCCUACGAAAACACCAGAAGGCAUAGGCAGAAACACGUGUCCAUAAAAUACAGUGAGCCAUAAGAACCUGAUGAGCAUCAGUCUUGAAAGUUUCUGUGGUAGUCAGCAAAACUACAAGGACAAUUCCCAAAGUAAAUUUACAGCAGCGAGGCACCAUCAGCAAUUAACCACUUGCUUUGAUUAUGUUAUGAAAUUAUAUUGAAAGGCUUUAGCAGAAUUAGAGCAGAAUGUGCCACAGCGGAAGGUGAAGGAUAACACACUUGAGAUGAUUAGUUCUGACUGUGAUAGGUUUGAAAGGCCCUUAGAUCAAAAGAGAAAUCUAACAACUGCUGCCAGGCGUUUUUAAAGGACUCUGUAUGCAAAUAUGUGUUUUACCAUCUUCAUGCAACAAAUGCAGCAACGUUAUCUAGUUCUUAAUGAGCUGAGUUCACAAUUAAUAAUGGAAUACUGCCCUGCAUGUCUGCUGCAGUUGAAGAGAUUAGGGAUAUCACUACACGCUGUAGAAUCCCAGAGCAGGUCACCCUGAGAUCAUUCAGUCACUUAGGACAAAAAUGUUGAUUCUCUAAUUAUUCCCUUCUGGUAAGAGAGGAGCAUCUUCCAGUAAAGCAGAAAUCCCUGAACCCAAAUUAGAUCAUUUGGCUUUCCUCGGUGCCAACGCUGAGUCAUUCACUUGCACUCUCCAAAACAAAAGCUGUUGCAAUUUGCUACUGAUAAUACCAGUGAAUAUCUGGGUUUGGAUGCAGUGCCCACUUUUAUUGCUGCAUCCUUCAAUCACUAUUUAAAAAAUACUAGAGAGAUCACAAAAUGGUAAGAACUGGCCUAGCUGCCUAAGCUAACUUACUGAGAGGGCUGUCUCCAGAUGCUUUGUCAACAGGGAAGAAAAGGAGUCAUUUGCUGAACAGGGUGCUCUCUUUGCA